GCGCGUAAAUUGCCCGAAUCCUGACACAGGGAGGUAGUGACAAGAAAUAACAAUACAGGGCUACUUCUAGUCUUGUAAUUGGAAUGAGUACAACUUACAUCUCUUCACGAGGAUCAAUUGGAGGGCAAGUCUGGUGCCAGCAGCCGCGGUAAUUCCAGCUCCAAUAGCGUAUAUUAAAGUUGUUGCAGUUAAAAAGCUCGUAGUCGGAUUUCGGGUCGGGCCGAGCGGUCUGCCGAUGGGUAUGCACUGUUCGGCGCGGCCUUCUUUCCGGAGACCGCGGCUACUCUUAACUGAGCGGGCGUGGGGGACGGAUCGUUUACUUUGAAAAAAUCAGAGUGUUUCAAGCAGGCAGCUCGCUCUUGCAUGGAUUAGCAUGGGAUAAUGAAAUAGGACUCUGGUGCUAUUUUGUUGGUUUCGAACACCGGAGUAAUGAUUAACAGGGACAGUCAGGGGCACUCGUAUUCC
rnacentral:rRNA from 1 species